GUUUGAUAUAGAUUAUAGGGUAUUAUGUAUCAACUCAAAAAUGAUUUGGCCAAAAGCAUGGGAAAAAAGAGAAACUUGGAUAGAUUUGAAGAACUAUUAAUAUUUAGAUUGCAUAGAGCAUGUGAAAUUGAUUAGAACCUUGUGCAUACGCAAAACUAGAGCUUUUAUGUAUGUAGUAAUUUAUCAGUAGCAGCAACAAAUUCUAAUCAUUCAUCU
rnacentral:misc_RNA from 1 species